rnacentral:rRNA from 1 species
UGCCAGCAGCCGCGGUAAGACGUAGGAUGCGAGCGUUGUCCGGAAUUAUUGGGCGUAAAGCGUACGUAGGCGGUCAUCUAAGUCUGGGGUUAAAGACCAAGGCUCAACCUUGGGAGUGCCCUGGAUACUGGGUGACUGGAGGACGGCAGAGGAAAGUGGAAUUCCCAGUGUAGCGGUGAAAUGCGUAGAUAUUGGGAGGAACACCAGUGGCGAAAGCGACUUUCUGGGCCGUUCCUGACGCUGAGGUACGAAAGCCAGGGGAGCAAACGGGAUUAGAUA